CAGAGGGUGCAAGCGUUAAUCGGAAUUACUGGGCGUAAAGCGAGCGUAGGUGGCUUGAUAAGUCAGAUGUGAAAUCCCCGGGCUUAACCUGGGAACUGCAUCUGAAACUGUUAGGCUAGAGUAGGUGAGAGGAAGGUAGAAUUCCAGGUGUAGCGGUGAAAUGCGUAGAGAUCUGGAGGAAUACCGAUGGCGAAGGCAGCCUUCUGGCAUCAUACUGACACUGAGGCUCGAAAGCGUGGGUAGCAAACAGGAUU
rnacentral:rRNA from 1 species